UAAAAAAAAGAUAAAUAAAUGUAAAAAAAAAAAUUUAAAGUCACGAGACAGGGUGAGACAGUGCAGACAGUGGGCACGGAGGGGGGACCGAGGACAGAGGCCCGGAGAGAUGGGAGGACCCGGUGAGGGAAGCCUAGACCCCGUGUCUGGCCACGGGCAGGGGACAGAGCGAGCCGCGUCUGGCGAGUCCAGGAGGAAUGUGGUCCCGGAAGGAAGGCGGGGCCAGCUGUGUCGGGAGCUGGUGACCGCCAGAGUGACACGGAGACAGAAUUGCCGUUGACCCCAGCAAUGUGGAGGCCCGUCCACCCUCGUCAGCGCGAGUCGGGUGCCGGAGAAAGCCCGGUGCCGACGGGGUUGGGAACUCUGUGCGGGAGCCUGGCCGCUGUGGCUUCUUGGGGACAGAGGGAGAGACACAGGGGCCCAACGGUGGGGCCCAACGGAAGGCCCGUCCCCUGAGCACACGUGACCGGGCCUGCGUCCCCUCCCCGUGCCUGUCGGCCUCCUGCCCUGCAGUCUGGGCCCUGAGACCGUCAGGCCUGCAGGAUGGCUGGUCCUGUGGGGCCGCAGGAGGCCGCGAUGGGCCCCGAUGCCUCCCUGAGAGACGCGUGCCCUUGACACGGACGACCCUGCGAUGCCGUUAAGGAGCUGACGCGGCUCUUUGACAUCGGCACGCGACGGGUCAGAGGGCGGGCAUGUGCGGUCGUCUCCGGGGCGAGAAACGGCUCCUGCCGGCCAUGCCCCACGUGCCCUCUCAAUGUUCCCACGAAGAAACUGUAUCGCGGUGGGAGAUGGCAAAGUGGAACCAGAGGAGGCAGAAUCAGCAGCCGUGUUGGCCACGCCCACCCCCAACCUGAGGAAGCCACGGUAAGUAAGGCCGCUGGAGAGGACGGCUCACCUGUGACAGUGACGUUCAGGACCGCGCUGCAGACGAGGCCGUGGCCGUUGUCGGCCGUGCAGAAGUAGCCCCCCGCGUGGCUCCCGCCGACCGCGGGGAUCUCCAGCUGUGCCCUCCGGGAACGCCGGCGUUUCGUCCCCAGGCUCUCCCCCGUGUCCUCCCGGUGCCAGGAGAACGUGGUGUCCCCUGUGCCUUCGGCCGCGGAGCAGAUGAGGACCAGAGGCUCCCCUGCAAGUGCCCAGCCCUCCGGGGGCUGGGUCUCCAGGAGCACUCCGGACACCGGGACCCCUGCGUGGACACGAGACAGUGGAUGGCUGCGAUCCGCAGUUCCGGGGCCCGGCUCCAGUCUGACAGCACGACCCAGCGGUCCCUGAAGAAGCUGAAACGAAGCACAGUGUCCGGCCGCUCUGGAGGCAGCUGAGUUUCGCAGCUCAGAGGUCAGUGUCUCUCGACUCCUUGUCUGGCACCUCAGGACCAGUGUGUCACCUUCAAACACGCCAUGUGGAGCCUGGAGCACGAGCCAGCCUGGAAGCCACGCAGAGACAGGGGCUUGGUGCUGAGGACGCCCCCUCCGCUGGGUGCAGCUCGGAUCGCAAGGCUUGGCUGUGUUUUUCCUGUCUCUCUUGCAGGAUUCGUCUCCUACCCUGGGCCCACUCCUUCCCUCCCGAGUCUGUAUGACCUGCUUCAGCGGCAAGUCGUAAAUGAACCCCAAACACACCACCUUGACACCCCCCCGCCCGCCACUCGGGGGCAGAACCACAGCAUGAGGAUUCUAACGUGACCGUGAGCCGCACAGUGACUUUGCCGAACGCGGUUACAGAUCACCCCCGACCGGCUCACCCGGGCCCCAAGCGGGAGUCACUGGGGGUCGGGGGGGGGGGAUUCCGGGGAAGAGACUAGAAACUGUCACCGUGCACUGGGGUUUGCUCUGUGGCAGGCUUGUCAAACACAAACCCCCGGGGGCGAGGGACGGGGAGCGGGGUCCCUGGCGGACAUUCUCCCGCUCUUCAGACGCACGUGACAGGUCAGUUCUGUCCCCUGUAAGGUGACUCAGGGACUGACUGCCUGUCCCCCAGCGCGGUCCCCAUGCGGUGGUCCAGACCAUUGUCUGUGAAGUGGGCAAAGCAGGACCGGGAGAGAGUGGGUGCCCCCUGAGGCAGGACAGUGGGAGGAGAGAAGGGACGGGUGUCAGGAAGGGGGAGGGGGAGGGACACAGGCCUGACGGGGAAACUCCCCUCCUCCGAACUCAUCUGUGUCCCUGUCUUGUCUCUUGCAGGAGGCUGGCCAGCCCUGAGGGCACGGGCUAAAGCAGCCUCAGUUUGCAAUCCCCUAAACGAAUUCCUUAAUUCCUCCCCGUAAAGGCACAGGGAUGUCUGCCGAGUGGUGUUAGACAAUGACACUCUAACCUCUGUCUCGACAGUCCUUUGAAAAACAUCUACAGACAAUGAGGAGCCCUGGGAAAUGACGGUGUUGGAGGUCAAGGGUUAGAGCUGAGCGAAGGCCCCCAGGUCUGCCCACCCCAGGGGGCGAGGAUACGCAAAACGACUUGUAAAGGUCUAAGUAAUUCACCUGCUUGCUCACCUGAAGAAAAGAUCAUGUUCACUUGGUCACUUGGGAGCGAGUCCUGGGUCUGGCAUCUGUACUGUCCAGAGUCACGGACCUCCAGGGUGUUGCCUGGGGUUUCGCGUAGCAUUCUCCUCCCAAGGUACCAAAGGAACCGUUUUAUUUUCUCUGGAGCGUGGAAGUGAAAUACAUUGCAAGUCAGGGUCACUGUCUCUCCUCUGAAGGCGACGGUCCAUGGAGGAUAGAGGGAAAUCACGGGUUUGGACGCAGCUUCUGAGGAAGAGAGAGACAGAGCCUGAGAUGGGGAUGCCUGUGGUCCCCGCCGCGGCCGUCUGUGUGGGACGGACCCGAGGACCAGGCUUGGGGGGAUCCCCAGGAAAGCCCCCGUCGGGAGGAACACGGUUUGCCUAGGCUCGGCUUUCCUGGCUGCAUUCACCUUUGCCAGGGGUGCGGUGGCCGCUCUGUGGUCUGUAGGGGCAGGCUGGCCUUCCAGGGGACGACCCCAGCCGGCCCCGCUCUCCGUGGAAGGGCAGCCAUGCGGGCUGGGCCCUCGGUCGGUCCCUCCUGACUCCCUCCUGUUACAGCCGUCUGUCUAAGAGGAGCCUUUGUGUGGAGUGGCCGCGUGGUGGGGUGGGGGCUGUC